rnacentral:lncRNA from 1 species
AGUUGCUAGUUCGUAUAUACCUCCGCUCUAUGAAGGAAUCGUUUAGCCCAUAUACCAUACAUCAACUAGUUUCGAGUACAAUGGUACCAUACUUAAACCUAACUUUUUGACCCUGCGAGAUUCUUCAACUAACUCUAUAUGAGUUAGUACUUAUCUUAAUCACUGCGGUUAUUGGUCUCAGGUAUUGCUACCUAAGCUUCAUAACCAACAGCUUUGAUACCAACUGUAGCGCCCCCGAAUCCGGGUCCCAAAUCGCCGCGGAUUCGGUACAAUCAUUCUACAACUGUUUGCGGAAGAUAUAAACAUAGAUUGUUUAUACAUUAAACUUUACACACAUUUCCCCAUAAUCGAGUAACCUUCACUUAUACACAAUCAUGAACUAUCUAGCACAUGACAAUACUAUUU